GACGAACGCUGGCGGCGUGCCUAAUACAUGCAAGUCGAACGCAGUGGGGACGGGUGAGUAACACGUUGGUAACCUCCCAUCAGAGGGGAUAACACUUGAAAACAGGUGCUCAACCGAUACAUCUGGUUGGACCGGGGGUGCAUUAGCGAGGUGGUGAGGUAACGGCCCACCAAGGCCACGAUGCAUAGCCGACCUGAGAGGGUGAUCGGCCACACUGGGACUGAGACACGGUCCAGAUUCCUACGGGAGGCAGCAGUAGGGAAUCUUGGGCAAUGGACGAAAGUCUGACCGAGCAACGCCGCGUGAGUGAAGAAGGUUUUCGGAUCGUAAAACUCUGUUGUUAGAGAAGCGUUAUCUAACCAGAAAGCCACGGCUAACUACGUGCCAGCAGCCGCGGUAAUUC
rnacentral:rRNA from 1 species